AGCAUUUUGAACUUAAAAACGAGACAGCUCCUUUUGGUUUAGGAAAGAAAAUAAGCUGUUACAGUAAUCUAAACGUGAAGAUACAAAGGCGUGGAUAAUCAACUCAAGAUCAUCUUUCGACACAAUACUUCUAAGUUUAGAAAUUUUUCUUAACUGAUAGAAAGAAUUCCUUGUCAGCUGUUUCAAGUGAUGCUCAAGUGACAUUUCUUUGUCAAA